UACGUAGGGGGCUAGCGUUGUCCGGAAUCAUUGGGCGUAAAGCGCGUGUAGGCGGUCCGGUAAGUCCGCUGUGAAAGUCGGGGGCUCAACCCUCGGAUGCCGGUGGAUACUGUCGGGCUUGAGUACGGAAGAGGCGAGUGGAAUUCCUGGUGUAGCGGUGAAAUGCGCAGAUAUUGGGAAGAACACCAGUGGCGAAGGCGGCUCACUGGCCCGUAACUGACGCUGAGGUGCGAAAGCGUGGGGAGCAAACAGG
rnacentral:rRNA from 1 species